AUAAUGGUGAAUGCAAUAGAGGGCUAUUAAGGCGAGUAGGUUAUUUUCUUUUAGAAAAAUUUAUUUAUCUAUUAAUUUUAACAAAUUCUUGAAAAAUAUUAUGAACUUUAAAAUUUGUCCGAUUUUGUGUUUUUCAUACAUUGUGAAUUUUAUCUUUUAGUUCAUUAAUGUGUGGCCAAUCUUAUAUAUGAUAAACUGCUAGCUGAAUUUUUCCUUUUUUCUUUCAUACAUAUUUGGUCCCAUUUUGUUUGCCAUAUGAGUUAUCGCUGUCUAUAAACAGAGUGUACAGAUCUAUUAUCUCCAAGAAGCUUGUUCUGAUGUCCUCCAUGACGUCAUUUUUCAAAAUAAUAGAUCCUAUUGAAGGCGUUACUCUUCUUUUGCUUUUUUGGAUGGAUUCUCUCACACACCAUCGACAAUGUGAAAAUCAAGAUCCAAGACAAGAAAGGUGCCCUGCGAUCGAUCGAAAAUAUCAAAGCCAAAAUACAAGAUAAGAAAGCCGAAGAUUUGAAGACUUUGUAAACAUUGUCAAUCUCAACACGAGAAAUCAAUUUUUGUUGUUCAAAUGGAUUUGGAAGCUGCGAUUUGCUAACCGAAGCUCGCUUUUUUUUGGAGUAAUCUCCAUGUGUUCUUCUAUUUUAAAUUGGGAUAAUAUUUGUUUGGGUUAGGUGAAUCUGUUAUCUUUUAUUUGAAAAUGAAUAAGGUAAUCUUGUUGUAGGGAUUUGGUGAUUUGGAAUGUGUUUAUUUCAAAUGUUCGAUAUAAAGUGGGUGAUGAGUCUAUGAUUGAUUUAUGGAAUGAUAAUUGGAUGGGCAAUGAAAUAUCGAUUAAUUUAUUCCGAACUUUUUAUAGCCUCUCAAAUCAAAAGCAUGGUGCUUUAAAGUGUAUUAUUUUUAAUGGAUGGCGUUGGCGAUGUCGGUUGCAUGAGGCGGAGAUGAAUGUUUUUAUUAGUCUCAGAGAUAUUUUUGAGUUGCUGAAUUUUAUGGAGGGGAAUAAUAAUACAUUAGAAUGGAAUUCAGGAAGUAAAAUGUACUCUAGGGUCUUUUUGUAGGAUGCUAAAUAGCAACCUGCUGUUACAUCAGAUUCUGGCCGGCAGUUAACUGCUGUCAUUUUGCAGCAGCCCGUGUUUGGACAGCAGCUCACAACUGCUUAUCUUUAAUUGUGGACAGCAGUUAUGACUGGGAAAACGGCAGGUCAUGAACUGCAGCGGAUUGUGGGUGGGUCAUGCAAAAUUGGUUGUUGCUUUUGUGCUAAUGUUGAAACUCAAGAUCAUUUAUUUUUGCGUUGCGAGUUUGCUACUUUGGUUUGAAAUGGGAUGCUUCGAAAGGUUGGAUUUUUAUGGGGGAAGCCUAAUUCGUUUGAAGAUUUCUAUCGGCAAUGGUUGCAUCUGGUGCCGAAAGGGAAUUAUGUGAAGUUAUAGGAGCUUUUGAGGAUUAUUCUAAUAUAGGAAUUAUGGAACUGCAGAAACACGAAGAUUUUUCAAAACAAGAACAUGAUGGCAGAGGAUAUUAUCUACAUUAGUUUUCUUAAGGCUUCAAAAGUUGUAAUUCUUCUUUUCCUUAUUCGGGAAUGGACUUUUUUAAAAGUCCAGAUUGUAUUUUAUUUGGAUGAUUUUUGCUAUCUUGCUUAGCCGUAGUCUAUAAUGUGCUUUUUAGGCCACUUCUUAUGCGAACUUAAUGUUAUUUAGCUUUGCCA